UACGAAGGGGGCUAGCGUUGCUCGGAAUUACUGGGCGUAAAGCGCACGUAGGCGGAUUGUUAAGUCGGAUGUGAAAGCCCCGGGCUCAACCUGGGAAUUGCAUUCGAGACUGAAUAGCUAGGGUGCGGUAGAGGGAAGCGGAAUUUCCGGUGUAGCGGUGAAAUGCGUAGAUAUCGGAAGGAACAUCAGUGGCGAAAGCGGCUUCCUGGACCAGCACCGACGUUCAGGCACGAAAGCGUGGGGAGCAAACAGG
rnacentral:rRNA from 1 species